UGUCGUCAGCUCGUGUUGUGAAAUGUUGGGUUAAGUCCCGCAACGAGCGCAACCCUUAUCCUUUGUUGCCAGCGGUCCGGCCGGGAACUCAAAGGAGACUGCCAGUGAUAAACUGGAGGAAGGUGGGGAUGACGUCAAGUCAUCAUGGCCCUUACGACCAGGGCUACACACGUGCUACAAUGGCGCAUACAAAGAGAAGCGACCUCGCGAGAGCAAGCGGACCUCAUAAAGUGCGUCGUAGUCCGGAUUGGAGUCUGCAACUCGACUCCAUGAAGUCGGAAUCGCUAGUAAUCGUGGAUCAGAAUGCCACGGUGAAUACGUUCCCGGGCCUUGUACACACCGCCCGUCACACCAUGGGAGUGGGUUGCAAAAGAAGUAGGUAGCUUAACCUUCGGGAGGGCGCUUACCACUUUGUGAUUCAUGACUGGGGUGAAGUCGUAACAAGGUAACCGUAGGGGAACCUGCGGUUGGAUCACCUCCUU
rnacentral:rRNA from 10 species